rnacentral:rRNA from 1 species
UUAGUCUCAGUUCGGAUUGUAGGCUGAAACUCGCCUACAUGAAGCUGGAGUUGCUAGUAAUCGCGAAUCAGCAUGUCGCGGUGAAUACGUUCCCGGGCCCUUGUACACACCGCCCGUCACACCAUGAGAGUUGGCAAUAUCCAACGUACGUGAUCUAACCCGCAAGGGAGGAAGCGUCCUAAGGUAGGGUCAGCGAUUGGGGUGAAGUCGUAACAAGGUACC